rnacentral:lncRNA from 1 species
CGCGCUUGAGUUUUCUUCCCGAUUUAGGGCUUCAGAAUCUCGGUCGCCUCUCUCUCUCUCUUUCUCUCACGCCUACUCCUCGUCUCGAGCUUCUUCAUCGCUGGCUGCGCCUGUUUCUGGAUCUCUCAGAUAAGAAGCUGCAGUCCAGACAAGCAUCGGAAGGAAGAGAAGUUGCGGGGGAAUGGAGAAAGGCCGCGCCGUCGGGAGCCCGGCGGGCGAUAGAGAAUGCCCGGCAGCGGCCGAAAAGAAUCCGAAGAAGCAGAAGCCCCCCUUCAGGCCCGCGCCGGACGACACCAAACCACUCUUCCGCGACCCCGUUCGUCUAUUCCUGUCUCGCUAUUCCUACCUACCCUUUUCCUUUUCUUUCUCUUCCUUAAUCUAAUUAUGGCUCCCUUUUUCUUUUUUCUUUCUUUAUUCUUUAGAUAUUGAGGUCGGACCCAAUCGAGACCGAGCAAGCAGUGCUC